rnacentral:rRNA from 1 species
GAUGAACGCUGGCGGCGUGCCUAAUACAUGCAAGUCGAGCGAACAGACGAGGAGCUUGCUCCUCUGACGUUAGCGGCGGACGGGUGAGUAACACGUGGAUAACCUACCUAUAAGACUGGGAUAACUUCGGGAAACCGGAGCUAAUACCGGAUAAUAUAUUGAACCGCAUGGUUCAAUAGUGAAAGACGGUUUUGCUGUCACUUAUAGAUGGAUCCGCGCCGCAUUAGCUAGUUGGUAAGGUAACGGCUUACCAAGGCAACGAUGCGUAGCCGACCUGAGAGGGUGAUCGGCGACACGGGAACGGAGACACGGUCCAGACUACUACGGGACGCAGCAGUAGGGAAUCGUCCGCAAUGGGCGAAAGCCUGACGGAGCAACGCCGCGUGAGUGAUGAAGGUCUUCGGAUCGUAAAAAUGUGUUAUUAGGGAAGAACAAAUGUGUAAGUAACUAUGCACGUCUUGACGGUACCUAAUCAGAAAGCCACGGCUAACUACGUG